rnacentral:rRNA from 1 species
UACGAAGGGUGCAAGCGUUGCUCGGAAUUAUUGGGCGUAAAGGGUUGGUAGGUGGUCUUGUUUGUCUAAGGUGAAAUCCCAUGGCUUAACUGUGGAAGUGCCUUAGAAACGGCAAGACUAGAGUCCUAGAGGGGUGUGUGGAAUUCCCGGUGUAGCGGUGAAAUGCGUAGAGAUCGGGAGGAACACCAGCGGCGAAGGCGGCAAACUGGAUAGGCACUGACACUCAACAACGAAAGCGUGGGGAGCAAACAGG